GGAAAUUCGGCAUAACCUCCUUUGAAAAUAGACAACCCUUCCUAAAAAAUCUGCAAACACACUUCUAAAAUCAUACUUCAACCUUGUACUCCUAGAGCCUUCAUGCUCUCUAAGUUUAUCACAUCUCACAAAAGAUCAAAUAUUAAUCCAAAAAAAUCCCACAACCAACAAUAAAGAUAUUCAAUAAUUUACUAACUGGAUUAUCAGAGCAUAUCUAAAACUGAAAGAAAAAUGAUGAAUAAAGAAUAAGCGGAAGCAGCCUCUGACUAUGCUUCGACUCCAUGUACGCUCGACCUCAAAUAAACUUUGCCUGCAAACUGGGCAUUUGAAACCGAAUGGCCCAGGGAAAAGUAAUUUAAAACGUUAGAGUGAGUGGACAAAAAUAAAUUAAAUAAUUUAACAAAAACGUAAUUUAACUACUUUCCCACGUUUAAACUUUAAAAACUUAGUUGCACGCAACUUUGAUCAUCCAAAUAACUUUAAAUCCAGAAACACAUAAGAAUAGACAAAUACUGAAAUCUCGUAAGAAAAGACAAACCAGCCCCGCUGGUUAAUUAAUUACAUAAAUGAGAAAAAUAAAUAAAAACAAGGGGAAGAGAUAUCACCAUGUAAGAGGAGCCUCCUAGGCUCUAGUAGCGUCUCACGUUAAGCGCUCGACUCACCUAUGGUGAGUACCGCUAAUAAAGGCUAGUUAGCAAUGAAUAAAAACCGAUCGAAGAUUCGGAGCCUCCCAGGCUAUAAUAGCGUCCAACGGUAAGCGCUCGACUCACCUAUGGUGAGGACCGCUAAAAAAGGCUAGCUAGUAAUGAAUAAGAGCGACCCUAGUAAGGUGACUAAAAAUAUAUGAAAUCACUUAAAUCCAUAAAACUUCCCUAGUAUCAUGCGAAUGGUACGGUUCCCAACCGUAAUUAGAAAUUAUCAUAAUAAUUUAAAAUAAAACUCAAUGACGCAUCUCACACAUCAAAAUAUUCUCAAAUCUAUAAUUAUAAGCGAUAUUUAAUUAUCAAAUAUAACUUGUAAAUAAUAUCUCAACCCGAAAUACUCGCUAAAACAUUCUCAAUGCCAAGAUCGAUAAUCCACAAAUAAAUGAGAAAAUUAUAAAUAGAGAACUACCGAAAAUCCCAUUUUCGGUAAUCUUUUAUAAAUCUCAAAGUCAACAAAUAAAAACGAUAAUAAUUAUAUCCAGAAGGAUAAUUCCCAUGCCAACUCUAAAAUCAAAGAAAUAAUAAGCCAAACUUUCUUACUUUCUUGAGAACGAUAAUUAUAGAAAAGAUAUUUAUAAAGCGAUAGGCGCAUGCAAUUUAUUCAAAAUAAAAGUCCACUCACAAUAUUAAGCCUAAGUUUUUGUAACACCCUAACAAGAUUGAAUUGGACCAAUUCUUUUUGAGGGAUUACUCACCUUGAUGAGAGCUACAAGAUGAGCCAAGAAUCACGAACUUUGGUGGCAGGAGGAGCAAUUUCCGACGAGUGGACCAUCCGGUGUUUCGGCGGGAUUUCUCAUGUUCGGCGGCGUCACCGACCCAAUCAUCGGCCCAGGAAGGAAGAGGAGGCGACGAGGGUCCGAACGGGACCAGUCCGGCGAUCUCUAGUGGCCGGACAACGGCAGGUGAUGGUGGUGAAGCCGACAGGUUAAGGGAGACUCGGGANNNNNNNNNNNNNNNNNNNNUUGGGUUGCUCCACACCCGGUCCAACUUAAAACCCCAACAAGAAAAUACCCAUUAAAUUUUACCCCCUUUUUUUACCAACUUAACUUUACCCUUUUAAUUGAUAACUUUUUCACGCUAACUCCGAUUUUAUCGCAUGAUUUUAUCGCAUAGCAUGUCUACGAACUCGUAUUAGCGUCCUCUACGACUUUCAUGAAGAAAGUUUUCCCAAAUUAUCGACUUAACGAAAAGUCAACUUUUUGGGUCUUUUAAGGUAAAACGGUUACAAGAAACAAUAGUUGAAAAUUUACUGUAAACUUCAUAAAUUCACAUAACAUAGCUCGUCGCUCCGAAAAAUAAUCUGGGCAUACCGGUGAGCUACUUCGGAGUUUUAAAUCCACUAUUUACCGUUUUCAGAAAAACUCGAGCAAUCACUAUUUAAAUCUCCGAGCGCGAAUAAAAAAAAAAUCUGCCGAAAUUCAUAACCCCAAACAGUAACCUUUUAGGUACGGGUAUUACACUCCUCCCCCCCCCCCCCCCUAAAAGAAAUUUCGUCCUCGAAAUUUCACGAUUGGUUAAACGGUCAAUACCCAUAACAUAUUUUUCCAUUUCCCUACAUGGGAACUCGACUUUUACUAGUCUCAUAAAUCCAUUCUGAAGCUAAUCAUUUUAAGUACCAAGUGUUCCUAUUUAACCAAGACACCACUCUACUCUACUCCGAGUAAUUAUUUCGCUUUCUCAAAACAAAUAGGAGAUAAUAAUAUCUAAUCUCGUUGUCCUUACACAAUAAUAUCCCAUCAACAUGGUCUACGGAUUACUUGAUCUAUAUAUAUUCAUUGCAUAAACACGCUAUAAUCUAUUACAUUAAGUCCAAAUAUGCAUAAAUAUACUUACCUACCCAACCAAGAAGUCAAGUCUUCCUAGACUUAUCGACUCAACAAUGAAUGAGUCAACAUCGUCGUCAAUAUUUUACAAUCUUCGACGACCAAAUAAAAAUAGAAGAAAAUGUAUCUCUUUAUCAAUCAAACAGUCGUAACCAAUAAAAGACUCACAAGCACAAGGAGAUCAAUCCUCGUAAAAGAUCAACGUACACAAAACAACUAUAUUUUCAGCCUUCCAAACCUUAAGUAUGAGGUAACACCAUGGACCUCUGUAAUCGGAUUCACAUAAAUCCACGAUUUAUCGUGUGAGUAGAAGGUAUCUCGUCACCCAACUUGAGUUCGUUAUGCACUCACUAUCCACGAACUCAGUUCUAAUUAUCAUUUACGUGACAUGAAGUCUAUGAAUCAUCGUACACGAUAUAAGCUGCUUUUCCAGCUUCCCAUAUCUUAAAAUAAUGAGGGAAAUACGAUGGCACUCUAUAACCAGGUUUAACUUCAAAACUCAUUGUCUAAAAACAUCAUAGUAAGUAUCUUAUAGUCGUAUACUUACAUAUGACCGCGUCCUUAUAUUAACAUAACAAUUCCUUGAACAUGAAGAAACGAUAACUACCCAUUAGUUUAUCAUAACUAUCGCUCAAAAUGAGCAAUACCAUAAUAUAGCACAAUCAUGUUCUCUAAUUCAGAAUAUAUCGUAUAACCAAAGACUCAGACCAUACGACGCUAUGUCAGCAUGGUAGUCUGUUAAUUCCCACUGAAGAUAUUAUACGGACUAGACCAGCACAAUGGUCAUUGUCCAGAAUCUAUUGCGCCAACAUAAAUUUUUACCAAUCAAGGUCAAUUUCAAAUGUCCAAAUUCCAGUAAUCCACACUAACAGUACUUACCGACUCGAUUCCAGAAUCAAUAUAAGUAGUACGUGGAAUUUACAAACAUCAGUUAGUAACCAAACUUCAAUAUAAUCACCAUCCAAAACUGGUAUGAUCGGUCUCAAAUACCACUGGUAUCUGAGAAAGGUCAUGUGGGACCACCUUUAAGGAAAUUCUUUCGAAAAUUCGGCAUAACCUUCCUUAAAAGUGGACUACCCUUGACCUGUAAAAAUAAUAUACAUAGCCCAGCAUAAAUAAAUCUCUGGAGCAUACUACUCCCUAUAUAUCCACACUAUCCAAUGGACUAUAUAAUCAUCCACCUUAUAUCCAUAAAUGCAGAUUUUUUUUUUUUUUAAAUUCUGCAAAUCGGAUAUGCAUUUGCUCAUACUCACUCAACACAGUGGUUCGUCAAUGCAAAUCAUGAAAACCGAUUAAUAAUAAUCAAAAUAUAAAAAGCACAACUUAUAUCAAUAAGGUUGUAAUAUCCCACAUCGGCCAAACGGAGAGGGGUUAUGUGCUGUAUAUGUACAUGCCCACCUCCAAUUUAACACGAGGCCUUUUGGUGGCUCAGCGGCUUCGGAAGGGAUGGGUACUCUGAGGUUAAGCAUGUUGAUGCUAGAGCAAUCCCAGGAUGGGUGACCUACUGGGAAGCUGCUCCUGAGCUGCCGGAAACAAAACCGUGAGGGCCGGUGGGCCCAAAGCGGACAAUAUCGUGUUACGGCGGAAUGGGUCCUGGGGUGUGACAAAUGGUAUCAGAGCCACUCUGCNNNNNNNNNNNNNNNNNNNNUAAAACCUCGCACACGACGAUACUGUAUCCCUGCCCUUGGCAAUCAUCCCGGCACUCGGUCGUAAAUUUCCACACUUGGUGGUAAUCAUCUCGGAACUCCGCCAUCAGAUCUGGCAUUGGCAGCAAUACCCGACACUUGUGUGGUAAAACCCAGCACUUGGUCGUAACAAGUGUGGUAACCCUACGCCCCCCAGGCAAGACGUGGUCACACCCACACUAAACCCCGCACGUGGCGAUAACCCAGUACGGUAUCCUACGCCCCCAGGGCAAGACGAGGUCAGACCCGUACUGUAAACCCAGCCGAAGCUGUAAACCCAGCCGAAGCUGUAAAUCACCCCACACGACAUGCCAAAAGGGUAUAACCGCCAAUACUAAAGUUGGAAUCGCCUACAUCAAACCACUUUACCAACAUUAGUAACAUGCUUAAAUCGUUGAACAUACUAAUUGAGUUCCUAUAGAACAAUUAUAAUAUAAUCACUUGUAUCAAAUUAUUCCAGAAAUUUCUUUAACACAUACCUGCAUCCUCGAGAGAAUUGCACUGCAUCAUACUUAUAGCAAGCAACUCAAAUCAAAGAAUUAGUGAUUUAUAUCAUAGAACCACAGAUAUGAUGACCCAAACAUAACAUCUCCAAAAAAUAACUUUAAAUCUUAAAUCUAUCAAUGCACUGUGUGAUGCUAUAAUUCUAAAUAUAUAUAAUGGUGCAACAUCCAGAUCUUAUCUCUUCACAGCACUUAACAAACUCAUUUCUCAUAAGAAUUGCAGCAAGCAUAAUAUAUGCAUAAAAAUUUCCCAUACCAAACAGUUCAACUAGCACAUACUUCUCACAUAUACCUAAUGAGGAGAAGUAAAAAUAUUAUACUAUUUGAAUAAAAUAUGGGGUUUAAUUGGUUUCACUCCAUGUACAUCUGCACAAAUGCUCAAGAGUGGCUCAAGCCAAGUGUCCUACAUCACCUCAGACGACUGAUUGUCUCUAGUGAACCUAGAAACAAUGUCGACAAACAUGACUUAAGAAGCUCUUUUUUUUUUUCUUUCUUACAAAACAGUGCAAUGGAGCACUCAUCACAGAAAUGAUAAAAGAAAGAAGAGACCCACAAUAACAAGAGAAAUAUCAAACUAGAAACCAACAGUCCCACUUUACCCAAGAUUAUAAUCCAAGCGCAAUAUCUAAAUUCACAUGGAAGGAGUAUUGCCUUUUCAAUUUCAAUCACAUCAUGCAUUCAGCCAUUUAAGCACUCACAUAUUACUCCCACAAUGAGCGCUUAACCUAUACCCAUAAGGCUGCAUCAUUCCAUCUGUAUCCGCACUAGUGAAAAAGUUCAUAUCAUACCAAUUGUGUUCAAGACUUGCAGACAGUAAAACUACAUCUAUCAUUCAAAUAGUUCAUCAAUCAAACUGAUUUGUAACCAAAGUGAUCAGAUUUUGGUUGUCAUAACCACAACAGUUCAAUAGAAGGGAUAAUAAUUAACCACACCGGAGCAACAAUAAGCACAUAAGUUCACCAAAAAUUCCAACGAAUUCUAUUACCCAACAAUCAGAAAAAUAACAAUAUCAGCAAUUUGACAACUUCAUUUAAUAAAAAAAAAACAAUUAACCAAAGCUAGCAGUUAGCUUUGACAACACAGUUCAAAGGACUUUUAACAGAAAUAAGAAAAUAAAUCCACAUACCCUAAUUUCAAACUAACAAUAUCUGACACCCAACUAUCCUAACAAGCAUCUUGAAUGAUACCGGUGAUCAAAUAAGAGGUUAAUAUAUUCCUCUAUGGCUCCUAGCAAUCGUUAUAUGCUUAAACAAAUAAAUGAACACAACCAACUAAAUUUAAUAUUCAGUGAGCAUAAGCAAAAGCUGUACUCAGCUUUGUGCUGACCAAAGCAGGGUGUACAUAUAAUCCCUUUCGAAUCUAACUUCAUAUUUUCUUGACAAAACUUGAUUGCCAAGCCCUGAUAAAUUUCUAUAUUUGUGGCUCAAACCAAGUUCAAUCACAGAACUAUGGAAUCAGUUAUAAACCUAUAUUGCAAAAUAGCUUUUCAUAUAUCAACUCUAGCACACAAAUUAAGAGGUACAUAUAGAUAUAUGUAGUUAUACCUCUCAUGUAAAACAAACUACAAAGACAAGUAUCCAAACUUUUGUUCACAAAUGCAACAGUGCAGAAUACCAAAAGUACUGAAAUUCAUUAUCUUUGUCUUUUGUAAACCAUAGACAAAAGAUAAUAAGUAUAGAUAGAUAAAUGAUUAAUUGGAACCUAACCUGGCAGUCAAAGUACUAACUUCAGUAGACAAAGACAAGGCUAAAAUUCCACGAUCAUAACCAAUUUCAAUCACAAUUCCCAACAGUUCAAACUCAGAUUGAAUCACACCACAUAAUUAAAAUCUAAAUAUCAGCAACAAACUUAAACCAUAUAGUAAUCCCAAAACACUUUUAAGCACAUCAGAAAUCAAAAUGCAGAAUUAUCAAUUCUUUCAACCAUCAAUCAGGGCUUCACCACAGAUUCCUAACUAAUCUGUGAUCACAAAAUAAAUAUGUACUCUGAUUUGAGGUAUUUAAACCUAUGCUCUGACAUCUAAAUCAACAUUCCUACCACAGCUUAAUUCCCUAGGAAUUAUAUCCCCGCUCUGAUACCACUCUAUAACACCCUAACAAGAUCAAAUUGGACUAAUUCUUUUUGAGGGAUUACUCACCUUGAUGAGAGCUACAAGAUGAGCCAAGAAUCACGAACUUUGGUGGCCGGAGGAGCAAUUUCCGGCUAGUGGACCAUCCGGCGUUUCGGCGGGAUUUCUUACGUCUGGCGGCGUCACCGACCCAAUCACCGGCCCAGGAAGGAAGAGGGGGCGACGAGGGUCCGAACGGGACCAGUCCAGCGAUCUCUGGUGGCUGGACGGCGGCAGGUGAUGGUGGUGAAGCUGGCGGGUCAGGGGAGACUCUGGAGGGAGGAGGGNNNNN
rnacentral:lncRNA from 1 species